GCAAUCUGACUGAGGCUUCCAUCGGGAAGUGCACGCUCCAUUAACAGUUGCACGGCAAGUUUUUUUAAAAGCCCGGAAAGCUACGCAUUAGAGAAGGAUGGCUUUCAUUUGCAGCUGGCACCAGAAUCAUUUUUAAGAGUGUGAGGUUUGGGUCUCAGAGCCACAUGGGAACAAAUCUCUAGGAUUAUCCAGCAUAGGUUCGUUAUGAUGGGAAGACCCUACGUGUAGGUAGUCCAGGAGUCCCAGACUGAAGAGAUGAAUAAAAAGAAGAGAGCAAGUGGACAGCGGUCCUGCCCACAAACGUGAUGUGAAGUGACCUGCCUCCCAAGCUCCUGCCGCUGUGUCUUCCCCACGAGGACAGACUCUGUCUCCGCCAAGAUCUUUCAGCAGCAUCCAGGCAAGCAUGGCACAAGCAGAGCUGAGAGUUCUACAUCUUCAUCCAAAGGCUGCUAGUGGAAGACUGACUUCCAGGCAACUAAGGGUGAGGAUCUUAUGCCCACACCCACAGUGACACACCUACUCCAGCCAGGUCACACUUAUUCCAACAAGGUCACACCUCCAAAUGGUGCCACUCCCUGGUCCAAGAAUAUACAAACC
rnacentral:lncRNA from 1 species